AUUAACGCGAAGAACCUUACCAAGGCUUGACAUACACCGGAAACGGCCAGAGAUGGUCGCCCCCUUGUGGUCGGUGUACAGGUGGUGCAUGGCUGUCGUCAGCUCGUGUCGUGAGAUGUUGGGUUAAGUCCCGCAACGAGCGCAACCCUUGUCCAGUGUUGCCAGCAUGCUCUUCGGGGUGAUGGGGACUCACAGGAGACCGCCGGGGUCAACUCGGAGGAAGGUGGGGACGACGUCAAGUCAUCAUGCCCCUUAUGUCUUGGGCUGCACACGUGCUACAAUGGCCGGUACAAUGAGCUGCGAAACCGUGAGGUGGAGCGAAUCUCAAAAAGCCGGUCUCAGUUCGGAUUGGGGUCUGCAACUCGACCCCAUGAAGUCGGAGUUGCUAGUAAUCGCAGAUCAGCAUUGCUGCGGUGAAUACGUUCCCGGGCCUUGUACACACCGAAU
rnacentral:rRNA from 1 species